rnacentral:hammerhead_ribozyme from 1 species
ACACAGCUGACGAGUCCAAAAUGGGACGAAACACGUGUCAUGGAU